UACGUAGGGUGCAAGCGUUUGUCCGGAAUUAUUGGGCGUAAAGAGCUCGUAGGCGGUUUGUUGCGUCGGCUGUGAAAUCCCGAGGCUCAACCUCGGGUCUGCAGUCGAUACGAGCAAACUAGAGUGUUGCAGGGGAGACUGGAAUUCCUGGUGUAGCGGUGAAAUGCGCAGGAUAUCAGGAGGAACACCGGUGGCGAAGGCGGGGUCUCUGGGCAACAACUGACGCUGGAGGAGCGAAAGCGUGGGGAGCGAACAGG
rnacentral:rRNA from 1 species